UACGUAGGGUGCAAGCGUUGUCCGGAAUUAUUGGGCGUAAAGAGCUCGUAGGCGGUCUGUCGCGUCUGCUGUGAAAACUCGGGGCUUAACCCCGGGCCUGCAGUGGGUACGGGCAGACUAGAGUGCGGUAGGGGAGACUGGAAUUCCUGGUGUAGCGGUGAAAUGCGCAGAUAUCAGGAGGAACACCGAUGGCGAAGGCAGGUCUCUGGGCCACUACUGACG
rnacentral:rRNA from 1 species